rnacentral:rRNA from 1 species
UAGGGAAUCUUCGGCAAUGGGGGCAACCCUGACCGAGCAACGCCGCGUGAGUGAAGAAGGUUUUCGGAUCGUAAAGCUCUGUUGUAAGUCAAGAACGGGUGUGAGAGUGGAAAGUUCACACUGUGACGGUAGCUUACCAGAAAGGGACGGCUAACUACGUGCCAGCAGCCGCGGUAAUACGUAGGUCCCGAGCGUUGUCCGGAU